GGCGUAACCUAACCUAACCUAAAAAGGGGUUGGAUAAGGGGAAAUUGUAAAGCAAUGAGUUGGUGCUGUUGUAAUCGUCUUUCCACUUCAACUUCAAGUGAUUUGUGGAGGCAAUUCAAUAUACCAAAUGUUGGUUUGAGGCAGAAGAAGAGAAGCGUUUCUGCUUAUUAUGGCCUUAAAACCCCACCUUAUAAGCUUGACGCACUAGAACCAUAUAUGAGCCAAAGGAUGGUUGAGAUACAUUGGGGAGAGCAUCAUCGUGGUUAUGUUGAAUCUCUUAAUAAACAAAUUGAAAACAAUGACAUAUUUUAUGGAUGCACCAUGGAACAACUUAUCAAACUAACAUACAACAAUGGAAAUCCAUUACCUGAAUUCUCUGAUGCUGCCCAGGUAUGGAAUCAUGAUUUCUUCUGGGAAUCCAUGCAACCGGGAGGUGGUGACAUGCCUAAAUUGGGAUUCCUCCACCAGAUUGACAAGGAUUUUGGUUCAUUUACCAACUUUAAGGACAAGUUUAUUGAAGCAGCUCUCACAUUAUUUGGCUCUGGGUGGAUUUGGCUUGUCUUGAGCAGAGAGGAGAAGCGUCUUGCAAUUAUUAAAACAUCAAAUGCUGUCAAUCCU
rnacentral:misc_RNA from 1 species